rnacentral:lncRNA from 1 species
AGGAUGGUGACUUACAAUGGGGAGUAGUUUUCUCUUAGGUGCAAACAGUUUGCAGCUGAAUGCAGAGGAGGUUUAGUUUCUGUGCACCUCAUGUGUACUGUGAAAGCGACUAACUGCAUGAUUCAUUUUGCACCUGAGAAGAAAGCACAUCAACUUGUGGUUCUGCUACUAAAAUCAUUUGUUUAAAUGGCAAUUCUUGUUUCUGAAUCCUGAUGAUAAUUAGGUUUUACUAAUUGUAAGUUUGGAACAUCUGUAGAUUCAGGAAUAUUUCAGCAAUUUCUGACAUGAGUUUUAAUGUCUUUCCUCAUGAUUGUAGAAACAUGUACUUCUCUACAAAAAGAAGAAUAAUGCUUCUAGUGGGAGGUGUCCCUGCCUAUGGCAACCUCAUCCAGUCUGUCAAUGCUUUUUUAAAUAGUAUACUGCAUAUAGUAUAAGUACUUGGGCAUGGAUGCUGUCAGUAGAUAAAACGCAGAAUAAAAUUAAAUGACCUUAUGAACCAGGAAGGCAUAUAAUAUUUUCAAUGUUGAUAUAAACAUCAGCUAGGAGAAGGGACAGCAUUGAUAAACAGUGUCAAUAGCUAGGUUUAAUCUUUGUCAAGAUGAAACAGAUGCACUGGAUUCCGAAUAACUUUGCUGUUGGCUGCAUUGACUAAGAAAUGAGCCUCUUGACUAUUUCAGGCAUUGGAACAUAUAUGCACUAAAAGCUGAACAUGAACUCUUUCUGUUUACUGGGUAAAUGUGUACUUCAUGCUUCAAGAAAUACCCAGCCUUUGUCUUUGAUGUUUUUUCUUUCCUGCUUUGCAACUCAACAUCUGUACUUUCACACUUAGCUCAGAAUAAGUUUUCCAACUAUGGUCAUCCAAACAAAGCUACCUAUCGUUGGUUGAUAUUGACCUAACUGCAUUAUACCUUAGCUCCUGCCUUCAGCUUAAAUUCCUGCAGAACCAGCUUAGCAGUUUAACUGAAGGUACUUGUUGCUUGUAACACACCUUUGAAUUUGCAUUACUACCUUGCAAGAAGAGAAAAUUUAUUCUGGAACUAGGAUAUGUUACUUUUAUGUAUAUUUUGGAAAAUUAAAGGGAAAUAAGUAGCUUUCCAUUCCCUUUCCUCCUCAUGCAAAGAAAUGAAGCCAUUUUGGAGAUGGAUAUUUAAGUUUUGUGGCAUGGAUGGGAUUAUUUAAGCACAGCUCUUGAGCCUUCAAUUUUCAACUUCAUCUAAGCUCCAAGGAAAACUCCACAAAAUGAAUCCAGUCUUACUUUAGUGAUGUCCCCAACUCUUGGAUG